GGCCGAUUGAAAAGUUCGCGUGAUCCCGGAUGAAAAUUCUAUCCAAUUACGUCGGCCGCGACGUGUUUCGAGAGCGUCGAAUUAUUUCGCAAGAGUUUAUAUAUCCCGCAGAGGCGUGAGGUACGGAGUGUUCGAGUUAUACAAAGGGAUUGGAACGUCUGAGACGAUAUCACCGGGGCACGGACGUGUGACGAGAGAGAUUUUCGGUGGAUGUACAAGUUUUGGUGCACGCGAGAGUAUUAAUACAUAAUCGAGCCCGUAGCUUUAGGCAGACAGAGAGGAGUCGAGGAGAGGGACAGCCGGGCAGGCGAAGCGCCGCGGCGUACCGAGGAACGGAGUGCAGGGUGAUUGGGCGGUACGGAAUGGCGGGGUUUUGGUGAGGCUGCUGCCAGCAGUGGGAGGGUUGCUCGGACGGACGCGGAAAUUUAAAACCUGAUCAAUUGAUAGGACGGAAUGA